CGUACGAGAAAGCGAGAAAUGUUGGAUUCUAAAAGGACACCACAUGCUUGAAACGGAGGAGACAUUUGUUUCCGCGGGAAGUCCUACCCGUGGCCGGGUCACUGCUGCAGAAGGUGCGGAAUCGAGUUGCCCAGAAUGAAGAAUCAAGGAGACACAAGAACGACUGCUGAUGCUGGAAAUCUGGAGCAACACUCCAAACGCCUGAAGAACUCAGCAGGUCUGUGGGGAAAUGGACAGCCAACAUUUUGGGUCGAGGCGCUCCAUUUGGACUGGAAAGAAAGAAGAUGCACUGCUGAGAGCGUCCAGUCCAGAUGCAUUGCGGCUUGGCACGGCAUCUGCUCAGCCUGCCACCACAAAGAGUUAAAAUGGUUCGGCACGGACUAAAGAAAGGACCCGUUUCUGUGAUGGAUUUUUCUCGGAAUUUAUGACUCUCCAGUUGUGGACACAUCAUGGAAAACAGCCUCCAUGGGCGGUCUACAUUUUCCACCGAAGCAGCCAGCAUAAUUAAAGAUCCCACCAAACCCAGACAACCUCUUUUCCCCCAUCAGGGAGAGAAAUCGAAAGCCUGGUGUGUUAAGAUGGAAUUCUGGCCUGUAAUCAUAGUGUGUGUGUAGGCCUCCGUUAGCCUCCAGAGACCAUGGAUUUGCGCCUUGGAAGUAAUGGAAUGGAAGACCGGCAGGUCUCCCCUCUCCACACCACCGAUGUUGUCCAAGGGAAGGGCAUUAGGACCCAUACAGCUUGGCAUCGGUGUCGUCGCAGAGCAAUGUGUGGUUAAGUGCCUUGCUCAGGAACACAUACGCAGCCUCAGCCAAGGCUCGAACUAGCGAUCUUCAGAUCACUAGACCGAUGCCUUAACCACUUGGCCACGUGCCAACACUGUAACCAUAGCACCAUAGCACAUUAGUCUGCAUAGACACAAGAGAUUCUGCAGACGCUGGAAAUCCAGAGCAACACACACACACACACACACACACACACACACACACACACACAGAUACACACACACAUAGACACACAGAGACACAGACACACACACACACAUAGAUACACACACAGACACACACACAGAUACACACACACACACACAGAUACACACAGAGACACAGAUACACACACACACAUAGAUACACACACACAUAUAAAUACACACACACACACACAGAUACACACACACACACAUAGAUACACACACACAGAUAUACAGACACACACACAUAGACACACACACACAGAUACACAGACACACAGAGACACAGAUACACACACACACAGACACACACACAGAUAUACACACACACACACAGAUACACACACACAUAGACACACACACACACAGAUACACACAGACACACAGAGACACAGAUACACACACACACACACACACACACAGAUAUACACACACACAGAUAUACACACACACACACACACACACACAGAUAUACACACACACACACACAGAGACACACACACAUAGACACACACACACAGAUACACACACAGAUACACACAGACACACAGAUACACACAGACACACAGAGACACAGAUACACACACACACACACACACACACACACACACACACACACACACAGAUACACACACAGACACACAGAGACACAGAUAUAUACACACACACAGACACACACACACACACACACACACACACACACACACUGCUGGAAGAACUAACUCAGCAGGUCAGGCAGCAUCUAUGGAGGAGAAUAAACCAUUGCGGUUUCAGGCUGAGACCCUUCAUCAGGAUGGAAAAGGAAACGAGGAAAAGCCAGAAUAAUAAAGUGGGGAGAGGAGGGGAAGGAAUACAUGCUAGCAGAUGAUAGGUGAGACAAGGUGAGGGAGAAGGUGUAUGGUUGGGGGGAGGGGGAUGAAGUAAGAAGCCUGGAGGUGAUUGGUGGAAGAAGUGUGAAACAUAGAAAACCUACAGCACAAUACAGGCCCUUCGGCCCACAAAGCUGUGCCACAUGUCCUUCUUUAGAAAUUAUCUAGGGUUACCCAUAUCCCUCUAUUUUUCUAAGCUCCAUGUACCUGUCCAGGAGUCUCUUAAAAGACCCUAUUGUAUCCACCACCACCACCGUCACUGGCAUCCCAUUCCAUCCACUCAUCACUCUCUGUGUGUAAAAAAAAAAAACAACAACUUACCCCUGACAUCUCCUCUGUAUCUACUUCCAGGCACCUGAAAACUGUCCUCCCAUGUUAGCCUGGGAAGAAGCCUCUGACUAUCCACACGAUCAAUGCCUCUCAUCAUCUUAUACACCUCUCAGGUUACCUCUCAUCCCCUGUUGCUCCAAGGACAAAAGGCUGAGUUCACUCAACCUAUUCUCAUAGGACAUUCUCCCCAAUCCAGACAACAUCCUUGUAUAUCUCCUCUGCACCAUUUCUACGGCUUCCAUGUCCUUCCUGUAGUGAGGCGACCAGAACUGAGCACAGUGGGGUCUGACCAGGGUCCUAAAUAGCUGCAACAUUACCUCUCGGCUCCUAAAUUCAAUCCCAUGAUUGAUGAAGAUAUUGCUGUGUAUCCCUAAUUGUUUAAUGCUAUUGUGCAGUGACUUUGGGAUGAUACCAGAUGGAGAUAUUACUAUUGGGACAAUGUAUAUUCAUGUCAUGUAUGUUCAUGUUCAUUCAGUGUAUGUUCAUGUUCCAUAGUCUUUCAUUUUCCACUUUUAAUUCAGGAUAUUUCUGGUGUCUUCACUUACUGAUUUCCAUAUGUUAUGUAUGUUUGGGAUGGUGAUAUCUAUUAAGUGUUGUUCCUGUUUGUUUAUCCUGUGAUAUUGUAUCCAGGUGGUUAUUAAGGAUUGUCCUGUCUGUAAUCAUGGAUAGUUUGUGGGAUUCUGCCUCUGAAACUGGAUCAGGCUUGUAUUUAUAGUAAGGUAUGUUGUCUUUCACGAGUUUGUACUUUAAAGCAGAAUUUUGAUGAAUGAGUUUUACCAAUUGAUUGUGCCAUGUAAAUAGGAGCAGGAGUCGGCCUUCUGGCCCAUCGAGCCUGCUCCACCAUUCAGUAAGAUAGGAGCAGGAGUCGGCCUUCUGGCCCGUCGAGCCUGCUCACCAUUCAGUAAGAUAGGAGCAGGAGUCGGCCUUCCGGCCCGUCGAGCCUGCUCACCAUUCAGUAAGGUAGGAGCAGGAGUCGGCCUUCCGGCCUGUCGAGCCUGCUCCACCAUUCAGUAAG